CUUCCCUACUUCUCUCUCCGACGAGAAGGACGGGGGACCCCAGGAAAACGAGCUGCAGACAUUUCUUGGAAUGAACAAGAAAAAGCUGAACUUUAUACAAAUAAAUUUUAUAAUGAUGCAGAGUGGUACUACAGUUUGAAUCACAAAGGAUUUUAUAUUAUAAGGUGUGAAGUUGCUCAGGGAAGCACAAUUCAGUUCCCUAAUUGUUGCACAGUCUCACUAUUUGAGGAAGGCCAGUGCCAAAAAACCAAAAUUAUUAAUGGAGCGGCAUAACCACGUAGCUCCACCAGGAUACUGGCAAC